CACGUAGGGCGCAAGCGUUGUCCGGAAUUAUUGGGCGUAAAGAGCUCGUAGGCGGACUGUCACGUCCGCUGUGAAAAGCUAGGGCUUAACCCUGGCCUUGCAGUGGAUACGGGCAGACUAGAGGUAGGUAGGGGAGAAUGGAAUUCCCGGCGUAGCGGUGAAAUGCGUAGAUAUCUGGAGGAACACCGGUGGCGAAGGCGGCAUCCUGGAUCAACACUGACGCUGAGUGAGCGAAAGCCAGGGGAGCAAACGGG
rnacentral:rRNA from 1 species